CUACGAAAAUUGCAAACUCAGGAAAGCUAAUUACAUAUGAUCAUUGUGACGUUUACUUCUAUUUUUACCAAAGCAGAGCAUUGAGUUCUGUAUGUGCUUUGGUUAGUUUAGUUUGGGGGCCAGAGAUGGGAAAAUAAGACUUUUUGGGGAAAAAUCAGACUUCUGGCUCCAUCGCUGGGAAAUUAUUUUUUCCCAACACAGCUGUGCUAUUUGACUUCAUCUAGACCCAUCCUUUACACCCAGCAAAUCAGAUGGGUCAGAGCUAUCCAGGCUGGAACUAGAAACAUGGAGAACGAGGAGGAUUUUGGACUUUUCUAUGGAUGGUGUUACAGAUGGAACAUUUCCUGGAGAAGAGUUCCGGUCAAAGGUGGGAUUUGCUGUCUACAAAGAGCCACUAAGGCCAUAAGAAACAAGAGGCAGACAAAAGUUGGCUGAAGAGAUGCAUGGAGGUUGACUUCUGGGAUUCCUAUUGCCACCAGCUACGCAGAGACUGGUCAUUCCUGUAUGGACUACUUGUGGUAGAGGACAAGGCUGUACACUGGCUGUACUGAUCCCAUUAAAGAGCACAUGCACCUACUGAUUUGUCUUGUUAGCAGGCAUGUAUCUUGACUGUCAAUGAUGCUGAUAUUGACUGUCAAUAAUGUGGCCACCUGUGGAAAGCCGCAAUAACAUUCGCCACCACAAGAUGGCACUGGCUUCCACUGUGCCCCACGUGGAAAGCCGGGAUAACAUUCGCCAUUACAAGAUGGUGCUGGCUUCUGCCAUGCCAGCCUGACUUCCUUUCAGGAAGCUAGCUGUGUGAGCAUGUACAAGAGUGUGUUCGUGCCAGGUCUUUGCCCACUCUGGGGCAUGCCUAUGAAAUCAUGGGUAAGCGACCAAUCAGGUGUGGGCAUACCGUGCUAGGGUUUUAUAAACAGCGCCUUUCUGGGCCCCGGCUCUCUCCUCUUCAAGAUGUAAUAAACGCUUUGCUACAGAAGGAUCCUGGUGUCCGCGCACGUGUUCUUGCUGGCGGGACGAUAGCGCGGGACAUAUGGUGCUGAAACCCGGGAAAAAACGCCUCACCAUCGCCAGCAUCAAGGAGAGCCUCCGCUCGCAGAGAGGAUUCAGAACUGCCGUGUCUAGGGAAUUUGGUUUCAACACGCUGAUGGACUAGUCCAGGAAUUGAGACAAUCCAUCGUCCAUAUUAACUCCACUCGAGUAGAUGGUCACCGUGGAAGUGGAUGCUACAGGAGUGUGCCAGCUGCCAGAGGUGGUUGCUGAGACUUGCUGAUCCUGGUUGCAUGAAGAUUCAGCUCUUGUGGUUCGGGUCCCUGGAGUCAUUCCUCUGCCCUGAGGAAGAUGGAAGAUCCCCCCUCAUUUCCCUGGUGACUCUUGCUGCCUUGACUGGUGUUGUCAUCUUGCAGUCUGUAGCUUCACAGGAAUGCCAUCUGUGUGAAGCUGCUGUGGACUGGGGAACUCUGCCCUGGUUGUGCAGAUCUCAGACAUGGUUCCAUUGCCUGCUGGUUGUUCCAGAGAAGAAUGACUGAUCCUGAACUGUCCUGGGAAAGACCUUGGCAUUUUCGCUGCUAUUGUAGCAGCCAUUACUGCUACAGCCAUUGUGUCUGCAGUGUCUAGAGUUACCCUCCCCCAAUCUAUUGUUAGACAAGCACAGUGGGUAAACUUUCUGGAGUAGUUGCUAACAAUUGGGAAUUCUAAAGUUUAUUAUAGGAGCGGCUUGACUACGGCCCUUGGUGAUAACAGCUGAGGAGAACCAGAUGAGGUGCCCACUACUUAUCAGGAGUGGCUCUGUUUGGUGCAGCCCUAUGCUGUGGAUUAGUGUUCAUGCUAUGGUUGGUUUGCAAACUCAGAUCUCAACAAAAACAUGAAAAGGUCGUUAUCACUCAAGCACUUGUGGCCAUUGAACAAGGGGCCUCCCCUAGAAUUUGGUUAUCUAUGCUCAUGAAUUAGUCGGCAUCUGAGUUCUCUGCUCUUACACCCCAUGGAUUUGUGGAUCCAUUACACUGGGAUGAGAGAGACUCAAUGAUUCUUUGAUCAGCCCUUCUACAUCGCUGAGGUUUCCUCAUCGCACGCGAUAGGGUGAUCAUCAUUUCCCCACUAACUCAUUUUCUGGCUGGCAUCUUUUGUAGAGUUCGCCCUAGGUCAUUUAACAGUUACUGUCACACAGCACUGCGGUAUCCAGAGACGGGCAACUUUCCUCAUGCACAGACCAAUCUAAGACAUGGGGCCCGGUGGUGAUAGGGUUACCCUAUGACGGAUAAGGCUGUGACAUAGAGGUGACCACGUGAAGCAUAAACUGAAAUAAUAUUUCCUGAAAUAUUAGGCAAGGAUAUAUCAUAAGGCUUUAGAGGUCAGUAAAAACAAAUAUUUUCCAAUUAUAAGACCAUUAACAAUACAGUGGUCUUCUGUAAGAUCUUUACACUCAUAACUGCUUAAGCUAUCCUUCUAUUUUUGUAAAUUUAUGUGGAUUUGGGUUUGAUGUCCUUAAAUAUGUGUGUUGGCUGUGGAAAAAUACUUGCAUGUGUUGAUUGCAAUAGUUCAGCCUGUGUUUUGAAUUUGGAUAUAAUUGUAUAAGCCAUAGGAGCAAGCAGGGUGUUGAACACUGAACGGUUUCAGUCCAUGAUAAUGUGGACACUAACCUGGUGGUAUUCAGCAGCUACUACAGCAAGAUUGUCUGCAGCAAUAUCUUAUAACGAGCCAAGCUGGUGCAUCCCUGCAGGUUUAAGAAGACUUAUAGUUAAUGAACAAUAUAUUGAACGAUCUCAUUUAAUUCUCCCAGUAGAUCUGUGUAGUAAAUGUGUUUUCAUAGAAGUGUACGUGUGUGUGUGUGUGUGUGUGUUUGUGUGUGUGUGAGCAUGUGUUCUAAUUUUACAAACUGUCAAUUGAUUAUAAGUUUACAAAUGAGAAAGCUAAAAGUAACUUUUUUCAAGUAACGUUAAUAAUAGCAGAUUCAGUUUCAGCUAUGAUUUCAAAUCUCAUUUCCUUUCUAUCCACACAAGAGGAAAUGUAUAAAAAGGAAAAGGUUGCAUCUGCAUAGCCAAAAAUAAUCAUGCAAUUUGACCAGAUUCAAAAGAAAUGUAUAUUAUAGGGAAUGGAGGCAAGACAUUUCUGAGAAUAGGAGCUUAUUAUCAACUAUACUUCUGUAAUUAUGUAUAUAUACACACAAAGAGGCAUGCAUGAGCUUACACUCUCAAUGUGCUCUUCUCUAAAAUUUCUUGUUCAUAGAAAAUCAUUUAAAGGCUGUAACAUAGCCUAAACUAACUGGAUUUCUAACAGUCCUUGUGGUUUAGGAUGACCUUGAAGUUAUUUUUACGCUGACCUCCAGAGUACUAUGAUACUUGGUACCACACCCAAUAUAUGUGGGGCAAAGAUCAAAGUCAAUGCAGAGAAUCCCUCCACCAACUGGAUCUAUAUCUCCAGUCCCAAGCCUUGUUUGUAACUGAUAACCAAGAAUUCUUAUCAGUUCAAUAGAAAAAAAAAAAGCCCAGAUUAUUGCAUAGUUUGUACACUCUGUAACUAAAAUGAUGCUACCUUCAAAGACUCAUCCUUUGAAUUAUCUAAUUACAUGAACUAAAGUAACCCUGUUGAGCAAUGAAAGAACUUGACUUCUGUACACACCAAAAGUAUCACAGCUAUCUGCUGAAGGCAUAUGGAACUUCAACUGUGAGGGAGUGGAAAGAAAACUAGCUUGAUAGUUGGACAGAGGAAUCCUUGUCUCAAUUGAAUUCAUGCUACUGUGCUGCAGUCAGGCAUGUCGCUGUUCUGACCCAGACAAAUGGGGCCAUAAGAGAGCUACUCUAUGGCGCAGUUAGCUUCCUGCCCUUCCUGCUAGACUGUAAUCAAUAGGUGUUAUGGUUUCUUUUAUGUCCAGUAACUCCCAGAAUUGCUUUGUUUUUUGUUUCUUUUAACUGUAAGACACUAAACUAUUUCAUCACAGUCUGCUAAAAUGGAUUAAGCCUCACUGCUAUUCUGUAGUGAUAAUCCUUGCUCUGCACACCUUACACCCUACUCUGCAGUGCAGCAUUGCAUCGCCAGCAUUUAGGGGGAAAUGUGCCAUAAGGCAUCACACAAAUGGACUGACCUGCAGUCAUCACAAUUGCUGAUGUAAGUUAUAUAGACUAAUUCUGAUUCUAAGGAACUAAAGAGCAACACAGCCCUCCCAAGAUGACCAACUAUAGAGACACUACCUGAUCCAGCAUAUGGAUGUUGAAACCUUACAGGCCUCAACUGUUUCCUUGCAGUGAAGCCACGUCUGAAGUUAUUGUCAAUUUAUUUGCUUUCACCUCUAGGCAUCAAAAUAGACUCAUAAAUAUGGAAAGUCAUUGUUCCUGUCUUAAAGUAGUGAUUUUAGAGGGCUUAAUUCUUUCAUUCACAGCCCCAGUUAACAUUCAGAAAUACAUUGCAACUACAGAAAGAGUGUUUUCUAUUGUUUCUGGAAGGCAGAUCACAUGGAAUGAGCUGACUGGUCACUGUCACAGAACAUUUUAGAUUAAAAGCCAAGGAAUGGCAUAGGUAGUUCAUUUUCCAGUCUCUGCCUUGGAUCCUCUUCAGAGCAUCCUAGACUUGGCAAGCAGCUGGUAGAACUGGCUCGUGUGACACAGCCCUCACAACCAUUGCAUAUUUGACUUCAGACUAGUGAAUUGUGGCUGAAGUGCUUUAUUCAUGUUCUUAAUCAUCCAUGUUUCUGUUUGUUGCCUUGGUUUACAUCAAGGGAAGUGUACAAGAUGGAUGAGAAGUCAAUGAGGGAAUAUGUUCUUACAUCCCUGAGAGCAUGGGGCUACAUGAGCUCUUAGCAGGACCACUGGCAUGUGGAAAUACUCCUCGAAAUUUCCCCUUUUUAUACAGCCAUGCGGAAACUGAAUUGUUUACUAUCAUUAAUUUUGUAGAAAUUGUAGGUCAUAUAAAACUGUAUCACAUGAAUUAGAGUACCAAAACAAAACAAAAAAAUGCUAUGCUAAAAAUAGCAUCUAAAGAAAGCCUCAGGAUUGUAGAUUCUGAAUUCUCAGCUUAUCUUCAAGUUCUGCAGUUUGUUUGCUUGAUUUUUUUAACCAUAAAUUUAUUACCUGAUGCUUGCAAACACCAUAUAUACCUCUUUCCUCUCUCUGGGCUCUGGUGGUCUCUAUAACAAAGAUAGUGUCUUGUUUAAUCCCACUCCACAUAUCCUAGCAUGCCCAUUAUGGCAUUUGGCAUGCAUAUAAAAUUAAAAUUCCGUUACUAUUGUUUUGAAAUAUACAAAAUGUUGCAUCUGUAUGUGUUAUAUUAAAUGUAGCCAUUGUUUGGUGUGUGAUGUAGAUUUAACAUGUGAUAUCUUCCCUAUUGAUGCAUUACUUCAAUUUUUAAAAAGGUUUUUGUUUUCUGGGAACACCUGUAAAAGAUUUUAUUUGACGACAUUAACUUGUAAGGGAAGUAGAACAUUAUUACCACUGAUGUGAAGGAAAAUUUGAAUAGCAGACAAAUAGACAUGCAAUCAGGAAUGCUAAUAUUAAUAUGCUACAUCAGGCAAAAUCAAAUUCUAUUUUUAUAAGACAAGUAUAAAAUCAAUAUUCUUAAGGAGAAGUGAAUUUUUACUAAGAUAGAGAACAUUCUUCAAUAUGAAUAAGUAUAUUAUAUACUUAUAUAAUAUGAUUAUAAGUAUAUUAUAUAAUAAUGUAUCAUAUAUAUGAAUGAAAUUAUUAUUUAUUAGAGUGACUUACAGGAUAUGGUAUUAGUAAUUCAGCACUAACUGUAUCCUGACAGAAAGCGCAAGGAUAUUGGGGUUGUUCAGUCUAUGGGACUAAAUGUCUCAGUGGUCCCAAUCUUGUUCUGAAGUACCAGCAAAGUCCUAGUGAGUUUCAAGUUAAUUCUGUGUUGGAAUCCUGAUAGGAUCUUACACCAGGGAAGGAGUGACUCAGGAUCAGGAUAGGGGAACUUGGGGCAAGCAGUUGAAAAGCAAAAUCUUCCUUUUUCUUUCUUUUUCUUUUUUUUUCAUUUUUAUUCCAUCUUUAUUAAAUUGGGUAUUUCUUAUUUACAUUUCAAAUGUUAUUCCCUUUCCAGGUUUCCAGACCAACAUCCCCCUAACCCCUCCCUCUCCCCUUCUGUAUGGGUGUUCCCCUCCCCAUCCUCCCCCCCAUUAUUGCCUUCCCCCGAACAAUCCUGUUCACUGAGGGUCCAGCCUUGGCAGGACCAAGGGGUUCCCCUUCCACUGGUGAUCUUACUAGGAUAUUCAUUGCUACCUAUGCAGUUGGAGCCCAGGGUCAGUCCAUGUAUAGUCUUUGGGUAGUGGCUUAGUCCCUGGAAGCUCUGGUUGGUUGGCAUUGUUGUUCAUGUGGGGUCUCAAGUCCCUUCAACUCUUUUAGUCCUUUCUCUGAUUCCUUCAACGGGGGUCCUGUUCUCAGUUCAGUGGUUUGCUGCUGGCAUUCGCCUAUGUAUUUGCUGUAUUCUGGCUGUGUCUCCUAGGAGAGAUCUACAUCUGGUUCCUGUCAGCCUGCACUUCUUUGCUUCAUCCAUCUUAUCUAGUUUGGUGGCUGUAUAUGUAUGAACCACAUGUGAGGCAGGCUCUGAAUGGCCAUUAAUCUUCCUUUUUCUAUGUACUUUUAUGUGGCCAGAAGAUGUGGCCCAGAUUUGGGGUGGGUAUUCGAACUUCAGAUGAUCCAGAUUUAAAGUGAGUCUUUCACCUCAAAUAAUCCAACAAAGAAAAACUCCUCACAAGUGUGUGCCCAAGUACCUGGAUUUUAGUUAAUGCAAGGUAAAGUCAAGAUGACAACCAAAAUAAACCAUCAGAAUGAGGAUAUAGAUACAAGACGUCUGCUGUGGCUGCAGGAAGAAGGGAAACUACUGGAGAUAGAGCCCAGUCUCAGAUGGAGUACAAGUCCAAAGGCCUAUUUAUUGAUGAUGAUUGCAAGGCUGGAGAAAGAGGACAAUAAGUCAUUAUGGCUCACCCAUCACAAAGCAUUUCUUCUUAUGUUAGGAAGCCAGGGGAUAAGCAUUCUGAUUCUGGGUUGGUAUUUCAGCAUAAUAUUCACCCCUGAUGGAAGUGAAAUGAUAUGUAAUACAUACACAAAAUGCACAUGUAUGCUUAUCUAUACAUUCAUAUAGUAGCAUAUUUAGAUAUCUAUAUAGUUAAUUGUAAAGCUGUCAAUAUUUCCAAAAUAUUAAAGUGAAACAAACACAAAUAUAAUUUAUUUUUCCUUAGGAAUUUAUUUAAAUAUGUAUAUAAACUAUCCAUAAACAUUGACACAUUUAGUCCUAGUGGCACACCCACAUUCUGUUUGUGUGUGUAUGUGUAUAUAUUCCUUUGCAUAUUGUACAACUUUAUUGUGUGAUAAUUCUUGAGACUUAUUUUGGGCUGUGUCUAUUUGUUGACCAUCAACUUUUAAGUGGAUUGUUAGCAACACUUCUCUGCGAGUGGGACAAUCCAAUGCAGAAUGCAACAGUCAAGUUUGUAAAGUUUCAGUGGAUAAUUGAGCUAAAUCCAGUGGCUGUCCAUUUCCUUCCCUUCUACAUUGUGUAUGAUGAAAAGUAGUUUUUGUGUGCCAUGGGAACCAGAGCAGCAUCAAAGUUCCACUUGCCCCUCAUUGGCAGGAGGACUGAACUGAAGGACUGGGUAACUGGGUGUGGUGGGAAUGCUCCUCCAGGUACUAUCAUGGUGUGACCUUCUCAGUCAGUGUUGGCAGCUAAAAUAACUAUUCAUAAGAGACUAUUCAGAUCUUAAUUAUAACUCCCAAAAAUGUAGUAAUAAACCCACCCACUUUUUAACAACUUGAAUUCCAUCAGAACUUUGUGUUGAAACAAUCUACUAGUGCUAUUUAACUGAAAAAUACAAACCAUAAUGCAGGAGAUGAUAGAGGGGCAUGGUCUUCAGACGAUAGUUCUGGACUCAGUCCAAGUGUUGUUCUUUGGUACUUUAAGGUAUAUGAAGGACUAUUACCGAAGUUAGAAUUAAAGCCUGAACCUGGUCACUCUUCAGAAACCAACUUCAGUAGCCAAUUAAACAUAUAAUAGCUAAAAGCAGAAAAUUCAUUAAAAUCUUCUUCUCCACAAGUUUUUCUUCAGGAUCCUAACAUGAGGCUUAGACUUUUAAGGAUUUAUUUUUGUGUUUAAUUAAAUGGGUAUAUGUAUGAGUAGUGGGGGAUGUGCAUGAGUCAAUUGCCCUUGAAGAAGGUGUCAUGUCCUCUGGAAUUAGAGAUUCGGGAGACUGCAGACCCCUACUCCAGAUGGGUGCUACAACUAAACUCAGGUCUUCUGCCAGAGCUGUAAAUGCUCUUAAGCCCUGAGUCAUCACCAGCCUGAAGUUUGGCUUUGAAUAGGGGGCCAGAAGCAUGCAUAGGAAACCAAUCCUUAUGAAAGUAUGGUACCACACAUCCCCAUCAUGAGACUCUCCAAUAACAUUGUCGAACAAGAGAUCAGAAAUGUAUGGAAUCUCACUCCAGGAUUUAAAUCCUCCUUCUCGUUGGUCCAAGAACUUCAGUCUCUACUCCUUCCAGCAAGUGAUUUCUGUAGAUAUCCCAGUAUCUUAAGGUUCAUUAUUCCACUAGUCUGAUAGCCAAUAGGACUAUACAAAAGUCUCAUUGGAAUAUCCUCAUUCCUGCCAAGAUAGUUACAGGACUGUUGUUUUAAAAGAACCAGAUGCACCUUUAUUCUGCUUAAUACAGAAGACAACAUUCUAGUCAUCAGAGCUGCCUAAGAUGGACUCCAAUGUAGGAGGAGAAGCUUCAUUUUAGAUGAACCGUGGUUGCUCUUUGGAACCAUUUAUACAGGAAUUAGGUGGGUAUUCAUGGAAUUCCAUAACUCUCUUGUGUUACUCAAGGACCUGUGCCUUCUACAACUCUUGUUCCAGAAUUUCUCAUAUGUAGGCUGUGAGUGGGAAAAUAACAAAAACCUAAAAGCUAAUUUCUCACCUAUAAUUUCUUUCUCAAUUUAUUCACCUUAAUGUCUGCCUGCUGAGAGCAGCACUUUUACAAGACAAGGAAAAAGCAUUUCCAUCAUCGUGUUUUCUUCUCUAAUCUAUUUAUUUAGCCUCCCUUUGGUGAACAACGUUGUGGUUUUUUUUUUUUUUUUAGUUUUUCAAUAUUCAGUCUAUUUCAUCUCAGUGUGUUUCACAGUGUACUAACCAUUAUUCUUUAACUAACUAUUAAAUUAGCUCAAAUCCCCGGGUUUUGUUAAAUGGAAGAUUGAUCAAUAUUUUUAUUGGAAAGCUAUAUUUUUUAAACUUCAAUAACCUUCCAAGUGUUCAGGUUUAAAGCUUUUGAGAUUUUUAGUAAAUAUGAGGGUUCCCUUCAUUCUUACCACAGCUUAGAGUUUUACUCAUUACACUUUGAAACUGCAUAAUUGUGCAAUUAAUCUCAAGGAUGUUGGAAUGCAUAUUUUUAAAAGUAAUUUUCUUAGGGAAAUAAUACAUAUCUCAUUACUUUUUACUGUAAUUGGUAUUCAUGGUCCCUUAGUUUAUAGGUUUAAACUCCUGCCAGGGAUGGCCAAUCUCAAGGCCAUAUAUUAUUAAAAUGGAUUAAUUUUUCAAACACAUAUUCCGUUCAAUUUCUCAUUAAACGAGGCAUUGUAAAUUCUGCUGUCAGAGCAUACAAAUAACAUGAUUAUGCAAUACUUGAAUUAUUCAAAGUCUUCUCAGCUGGAAUGGGUACUAGACCUAGACACUGGGUUCAUUCAUUAUGGAAGAGAAUUUUAAGACAUAGAUGUCCAAACUAACAAUUCCAAUUUUCUGUCUAUUGCUGUAACUAAUGCCAUGGACCACAAGCAAUUUAUGGAAGAUGUGAUUUAUUUGGUUUAUAUUUCCAGGUCACAGUCCAUCAUUGAGAGAAUCAGGGACAGAAACUCCAGCAAGAACUUGAAGUAGAAAUCAUGAAAGGAUGUUACGUAUUAGUUCUCUCACUGAUAGGUUCCUAUGUAGCUAGAUCUCCUAUAUAGUCCAGAACCAUCUGUCUAGAGAAGUUACCAACCAGGACUGCCUCAUUCUUCUGGAUCAAACUGAUAAAUACAGCCACACACAAAUACACCCACAGACCAAUCUGAUAAGGACAAUAACUCCAUUGAGACACCUUGUCAGGUGAUUCCUGGCUGGGUCUGCUGACAGACAAUACUAGCUGAAUACUGACCAAGGAUCUCUUGAGAUUCACCUUAAUUUCCUAACAACAAGGAAUCCAGGAAAUUCAAAGAGAAGCCUACCGUGAAGGAAAUAAACAAAAUUAAAUUCCAUCAGAUUAAGACUGGAAAGUCUUAAAAAAAAAGAAGGAGGAAGAAUUGGGUUUAGACUUGGCUAGAUUAUUUGGUCAUUAGUGCAGAAUAUAAAUUCAAAGGUGAUAGAGGCAUGCUAGGAAGAAUUUCAAUGUAUAGUAUGGCAUGUUGCAGUCACUGUGGAACUUGGGGAUAAGCAAAUGAUUCAGAGGGACCAAGUCAGCACUUAAAUUUUUAUUUUUAAUUAUACUUAAUUUUUUUACAGAACUAUUUGGUUUAUGACAAAAUAUAGUCAAAAUAAUGUGGAGUUCCUUUUUCCCCCUUUCAAAGCCUCCCAAUUUUCUUCACAUUCCACACAUUGUAGAAUGGAGGAAUCGACAGUACCAAAUUGGCAUUUAAACUUUAUAGUUCAUACUAGGGUUUCCUUGUGGACAAGCAUACAAUAUAUAUCAACCACGGUCAUAUAAUAGUGGUCACUGUCCCCCAAGUCCUUGAUGCUCUGCCUAUUCAUCCUUCCUUCACUCUUAAUCAUUGGCCACCAUUUUUAAUGUCCAUGUGUUUUUGUUGGAGAAUGUUAGUUGUAAUCAGAUGACUGUAACCCAUUUAUGAUUAGCUUCUUUCAUUUAGUAGUAUCAAUUUGUUGUUUCACUGUAUUUUUUGUGGCUUGAUAACUCAUUUGUUUCAGUGCUGUGUAAUUUUUCAUUGUCUGAUAUGAUGGAUCUUUUCACAUUUUAUAUGUUAUGAAUAAAACAACGAAAAUGUG